rnacentral:rRNA from 1 species
CAUGCAAGUCGAGCGGCAGCGCGGGGGCACCCUGGCGGCGAGCGGCGAACGGGUGAGUAACAUAUCGGAACGUACCCUAUCGUGGGGGAUAACACAUCGAAAGAUGUGCUAAUACCGCAUACGACCUGAGGGUGAAAGCGGGGGAUCGCAAGACCUCGCGCGACAGGAGCGGCCGAUAUCGGAUUAGCUAGUUGGUGGGGUAAAGGCUCACCAAGGCGACGAUCCGUAGCUGGUCUGAGAGGACGACCAGCCACACUGGAACUGAGACACGGUCCAGACUCCUACGGGAGGCAGCAGUGGGGAAUUUUGGACAACGGGGGCAACCCUGAUCCAGCCAUUCCGCGUGAGUGAAGAAGGCCUUCGGGUUGUAAAGCUCUUUCGGCAGGAACGAAACGGUAUGAGUUAAUACCUCAUGCCAAUGACGGUACCUGAAGAAGAAGCACCGGCUAACUACGUGCCAGCAGCCGCGGUAAUACGUAGGGUGCGAGCGUUAAUCGGAAUUACUGGGCGUAAAGCGUGCGCAGGCGGUUGUGUAAGACAGGUGUGAAAUCCCCGGGCUUAACCUGGGAACUGCGCUUGUGACUGCAUAACUCGAGUGUGGCAGAGGGGGGUGGAAUUCCACGUGUAGCAGUGAAACGCGUAGAGAUGUGGAGGAACACCGAUGGCGAAGGCAGCCCCCUGNGUCACACUGACGCUCAUGCACGAAGCGUGGUAGCAACAGGAUAGAUACCUGG